UACGUAGGUGGCAAGCGUUGUCCGGAUUUACUGGGCGUAAAGAGCGCGCAGGCGGUCGUUCAAGUCGCGUGUGAAAGCCCCCGGCUCAACUGGGGAGGGUCACGCGAUACUGAUCGACUCGAAGGCAGGAGAGGGUAGUGGAAUUCCCGGUGUAGUGGUGAAAUGCGUAGAUAUCGGGAGGAACACCAGUGGCGAAGGCGACUACCUGGCCUGUUUCUUGACGCUGAGGCGCGAAAGCUAGGGGAGCAAACAGGG
rnacentral:rRNA from 1 species